ACGCUCGACACCUACGGGNGGCAGCAGUGGGGAAUAUUGCACAAUGGGGGAAACCCUGAUGCAGCGACGCCGCGUGGAGGAAGAAGGUCUUCGGAUUGUAAACUCCUGUUGUUGGGAAAAAGAGGAUGGUACCCAACAAGGAAGUGACGGCUAACUACGUGCCACAGCCGCGGUAAUCUGAGCGGGCUGGCAAGGC
rnacentral:rRNA from 1 species